GAUCCCUGUGGCGCAAUGGAUAGCGCGUUGGGCUUCUAAUUCAAAGGUUGUGGGUUCAAGUCCCACCAGGGUCA